CCAUGAAGCCCAGCUGGAAGCGCUGCUGGUUGUAGAAGGUCUGGGCGAGGGCGCGGCGGAGCGCGUCGGGCGGCAGCGCGGACUCAUGGCUGUACUGGAGCUGUGAGAAGAGUUCCUGCGGAGAAGAAAUGAAUCAAGAAAAGCCUCCUCAAUUACCCUCGAUUCGCGCACAGAGAGGAGCACACACACGCGGCGAGAGCGACUGUGUCCGUCGGCAGCGGAGUCGACCACUCACUGAGGAAGAGUGAGUGUAGGUGAGUGAGUGGGCGAGCUGCACAUCAGCGACCUGAGGAUGGCUGGCCUGGUCGCACCUGCCUCCACCACCACCAUGCCAUUUCCGUUUUCCUGCCCGCGCCUGGCAGGUGUUGUCCGCACAAUGAGGCUACAUGGGCAUCCAUUGGUCCUCUGUAGGGCCGGAUGAAAAAUUUGCCAAGGUUAUGAUACCGAAAAUUCGCGGAGCAGGGUACAGUAAGGUCCGGCAGAACACGCCCCCCCUACCCUACGGCGGGCGACCUGGCCACCGACUUCCCGGAAACCAGCCACGCGUCCUGGAGCCUGACUCACUUCCAUUCACUUGGUCCUACAGGUGAACACGCGUCGCCUGCCCGAGAGAGGCGCCCAUUCAUCCGCCGCCGUGGAUGCACCUCCAACGACUCACAAACACCACAACUCUACCUGACGAAAGCGCAGUGCCCGGCUACGCGUUCGGGAAGAAGUUACUGAACGAAUGGAGAAACAAGCAGCGAGGUGAAGCACUCGAUCUUCGCCGUGAUUUCGCCACGAUCUCCUCCACCCCCCCUCCCCCUCCCGCCCGGCCGCCCACAACCCCUCUUUCAAGCAAAGAUACGCCUCACUGGCUGCCCUCGGAUCGUAAAGCAAGCAUGGCGUGAUAUUCCCGCCCAAAAUCCGCUGGCCGGUCUGACGUCACGCCCAGCUUAGCUCCCCACCUCCUGCUUGCGCCCCCCACCCCUCCUCACUCCCCCGGGUGCCCAAACUCCCCCUCCCUGCCCCCUGCCAUAUAAAUCCCACUGCCUGCGGAGCCCAAACACCCACGCAGGGCAGCUCCCUGUCCCUUUGCCUCUCCACUUCCUCUCCCUCUGUCUCCACGAACAAGCAUGAUACCUCUGCAAUUAAUUCGUCAAAUUCACGCAUACCUAGUUCCGCGGAGAUAUUAAUUCCUCAUUUCCCAACAGGCGCGGCUUGGGAUCCUUCGCCUCUCCCUCCCCGACGCCCC